rnacentral:tRNA from 1 species
GUGAGUAUAACUCAGUGGUAGAGUGCGUGCUUAGCAUGCACGAGGUCCUGGGUUCAAUCUCCAGCACUUCCA